rnacentral:rRNA from 1 species
UACGUAGGGUGCAAGCGUUGUCCGGAAUUAUUGGGCGUAAAGAGCUCGUAGGCGGCUUGUUGCGUCGGCUGUGAAAACCCGUGGCUUAACUGCGGGCUUGCAGCUGAUACGGGCGGGCUAGAGUUCGGUAGGGGAGACUGGAAUUCCUGGUGUAGCGGUGAAAUGCGCAGAUAUCAGGAGGAACACCGGUGGCGGAGGCGGGUCUCUGGGCCGAUACUGACGCUGAGGAGCGAAAGCGUGGGGAGCGAACAGG